GGGGUGUUAUUGGUUUGUGAUUU
rnacentral:snRNA from 1 species